AGAAGAAUGAUAGUGUAAGAAUGUGUAAGAGGAAAGAGAGUGUAAGAAUGUGGAAAAGAAAAGAGAGUGUAAGGAAUGACAUUUUUGGAAAUCUAAUGUAAAAAGGUAGAACAAUGUACACAUAUGUCAAAUCAUGUGCAAAUUACCAAUUUAGAUGUCAAUUAGGUAUAUUCAACCAAUUCUCUCUAUAAAGAUAACGAGAUUUCGUCACCCCCAGCUAAAAUUUUAAACGUUUUCCUGAUUAAAAUAUUUUGAUUUUGAUAUGAUACUUUGAUUCACAAUUUGGUUUUUUACUGAUAUAAUUUAACUAGUCAAAAAACUUGUAUUAAUAUGAAAUACUAGCUAUCAAAUUUGAACGUUAAAGUAAUCUGAAUCUUGUUUAGAGAAGUGUUUUUUUGUUGUUUGGUGUUACACUUUCCAUCCGAAGAGAUAUGUGAACUUAAUGUCCAUACUUUGGUGCUUUUGUUAUUUGUUUUGUCAUUUGAUAGAGUAAUUUUAAGUUGUAAAGUAUUACAAAGCUAGACAACUGAAAA
rnacentral:lncRNA from 1 species